CUUAAAUGGGAUAAACAGUGGUGUCCAGGCUCCAGCGUUUGCGAGGGGGGAGGACAGUGGUCCACUGUCUCCCCUGGUCUUGCGGGGUCACAGUGCUCGUGGUGCCUGCACACGGCUGGUCCAGGGCACAUCUGGGUUGUCUCUGUCAUCUAAACGGUUAUGAACAGCUAACAGGUUGGGGUGUGUGACGGGUUGAUGCACGCCCCCCCCCAAGAUAUGUCUACAACCCUGCGCCCUGCACAUGUUAC
rnacentral:lncRNA from 1 species